rnacentral:rRNA from 1 species
UACGUAGGGGGCAAGCGUUGUCCGGAAUCAUUGGGCGUAAAGAGCGUGUAGGCGGUCCGGUAAGUCGGCUGUGAAAGUCCAGGGCUCAACCCUGGGAUGCCGGUCGAUACUGCCGGACUAGAGUUCGGAAGAGGCGAGUGGAAUUCCCCGGUGUAGCGGUGAAAUGCGCAGAUAUCGGGAGGAACACCUAUGGCGAAGGCAGGUCUCUGGGCCAUAACUGACGCUGAGAAGCGAAAGCAUGGGGAGCGAACAGG